rnacentral:rRNA from 1 species
GCGGGAUGACGGCCUUCGGGUUGUAAACCGCUUUUGAUUGGGAGCAAGCGAGAGUGAGUGUACCUUUCGAAUAAGCACCGGCUAACUACGUGCCAGCAGCCGCGGUAAUACGUAGGGUGCAAGCGUUAUCCGGAUUUAUUGGGCGUAAAGGGCUCGUAGGCGGUUCGUCGCGUCUGGUGUGAAAGUCCAUCGCUUAACGGUGGAUCGGCGCCGGGUACGGGCGGACUGGAGUGCGGUAGGGGAGACUGGAAUUCCCGGUGUAACGGUGGAAUGUGUAGAUAUCGGGAAGAACACCGAUGGCGAAGGCAGGUCUCUGGGCCGUCACUGACGCUGAGGAGCGAAAGCGUGGGGAGCGAACAGGAUUAGAUACCCUGGUAGUCCACGCCGUAAACGGUGGAUGCUGGAUGUGGGGCCCGUUCCACGGGUUCCGUGUCGGAGCUAACGCGUUAAGCAUCCCGCCUGGGGAGUACGGCCGCAAGGCUAAAACUCAAAGAAAUUGACGGGGGCCCGCACAAGCGGCGGAGCAUGCGGAUUAAUUCGAUGCAACGCGAAGAACCUUACCUGGGCUUGACAUGUGCCGGACGGCCGCGGAGACGCGGCUUCCCUUCGGGGCCGGUUCACAGGUGGUGCAUGGUCGUCGUCAGCUCGUGUCGUGAGAUGUUGGGUCAAGUCCCGCAACGAGCGCAACCCUCGCCUCGUGUUGCCAGCGCGUUAUGGUGGGAACUCACGGGGGACCGCCGGGGUUAACCCGGAGGAAGGUGGGGAUGACGUCAGAUCAUCAUGCCCCUUACGUCCAGGGCUUCACGCAUGCUACAAUGGCCGGUACAACGGGAUGCGACAUGGUGACAUGGAGCGGAUCCCUGAAAACCGGUCUCAGUUCGGAUCGGAGCCUGCAACCCGGCUCCGUGAAGGCGGAGUCGCUAGUAAUCGCGGAUCAGCAACGCCGCGGUGAAUGCGUUCCCGGGCCUUGUACACACCGCCCGUCAAGUCAUGAAAGUGGGCAGCACCCGAAGCCGG